UACGUAGGCAGCGAGCGUUGUUCGGAGUUACUGGGCGUAAAGGGUGUGUAGGCGGUUUUCUAAGUUUGGUGUGAAAUCUCCCGGCUUAACCGGGAGGGUGCGCCGAAAACUGGGAGACUAGAGUGCGGGAUGGGAGAGUAGAAUUCCUGGUGUAGCGGUGAAAUGCGUAGAUAUCAGGAGGAAUACCGGUGGUGUAGACGGCUCUCUGGGCCGUAACUGACGCUGAGGAGCGAAAGCAUGGGGAGCGAACAGG
rnacentral:rRNA from 1 species